rnacentral:rRNA from 1 species
CUUGACGGSSGGGGUAACGGCCCCCCGKGGCUUCGACGGGUARCCCGCCCURARAGGGCGACCGGCCMCAUUGGGACUGARAUACGGCCCAGACUCNUACGGGAGGCAGCAGUGGGGAAUAUUGCACAAUGGGCGCAAGCCUGAUGCAGCGACGCCGCGUGAGGGAUGGAGGCCUUCGGGUUGUAAACCUCUUUUAUCGGGGAGCAAGCGAGAGUGAGUUUACCCGUUGAAUAAGCACCGGCUAACUACGUGCCAGCAGCCGCGGUAAUACGUAGGGUGCAAGCGUUAUCCGGAAUUAUUGGGCGUAAAGGGCUCGUAGGCGGUUCGUCGCGUCCGGUGUGAAAGUCCAUCGCUUAACGGUGGAUCCGCGCCGGGUACGGGCGGGCUUGAGUGCGGUAGGGGAGACUGGAAUUCCCGGUGUAACGGUGGAAUGUGUAGAUAUCGGGAAGAACACCAAUGGCGAAGGCAGGUCUCUGGGCCGUUACUGACGCUGAGGAGCGAAAGCGUGGGGAGCGAACAGGAUUAGAUACCCUGGUAGUCCACGCCGUAAACGGUGGAUGCUGGAUGUGGGGCCCGUUCCACGGGUUCCGUGUCGGAGCUAACGCGUUAAGCAUCCCGCCUGGGGAGUACGGCCGCAAGGCUAAAACUCAAAGAAAUUGACGGGGGCCCGCACAAGCGGCGGAGCAUGCGGAUUAAUUCGAUGCAACGCGAAGAACCUUACCUGGGCUUGACAUGUUCCCGACGGUCGUAGAGAUACGGCUUCCCUUCGGGGCGGGUUCACAGGUGGUGCAUGGUCGUCGUCAGCUCGUGUCGUGAGAUGUUGGGUUAAGUCCCGCAACGAGCGCAACCCUCGCCCCGUGUUGCCAGCGGAUUAUGCCGGGAACUCACGGGGGACCGCCGGGGUUAACUCGGAGGAAGGUGGGGAUGACGUCAGAUCAUCAUGCCCCUUACGUCCAGGGCUUCACGCAUGCUACAAUGGCCGGUACAACGGGAUGCGACGCGGCGACGCGGAGCGGAUCCCUGAAAACCGGUCUCAGUUCGGAUCGCAGUCUGCAACUCGACUGCGUGAAGGCGGAGUCGCUAGUAAUCGCGAAUCAGCAACGUCGCGGUGAAUGCGUUCCCGGGCCUUGUACACACCGCCCGUCAAGUCAUGAAAGUGGGCAGCACCCGAAGCCGGUGGCCUAACCCCUUGUGG